UACGUAGGCGGUUUGUUAAGUCACUUGUAAAAGAUCUCAGCCCAACUGAGUAAGGCGAGUGAAACUGACAGACUUGAAUACGGUAGAGGUAAGUGGAAUUCCAUGUGUAGCGGUGGAAUGCGUAGAUAUAUGGAGGAACACCAAUGGCGAAGGCAACUUACUGGGCCGGAAUUGACGCUGAGGCACGAAAGCGUGGGGAGCAAACAGGAUUAGAUACCCUGGUAGUCC
rnacentral:rRNA from 1 species